AACAUCGCGCACCUGCGGGAACCUGCGGACGGAUCAUUAAUGAUUGGUGGCUGUUGCUGACUAGUGUUUCUAGUAUGUGCACGCCACACCUUCAAUCCCACUUACACCUGUGCACCUUCUGUAAUAGAUCUAUGUGGAUACGGAGAUAUGAAAGUUUGCGCUCUCGUACUCUGUUGAAGCAGUCUACUACGUUUUUUUACACACACACAAUAGUCAUUGAAUGUAUUUUUUAUUCUUAUG
rnacentral:misc_RNA from 1 species